rnacentral:rRNA from 1 species
GUCCACGCCGUAAACGAUGGACACUAGACGUCGGGGGAGCGACCCUCCCGGUGUCGUCGCUAACGCAGUAAGUGUCCCGCCUGGGGAGUACGGCCGCAAGGCUGAAACUCAAAGGAAUUGACGGGGGCCCGCACAAGCGGUGGAGCAUGUGGUUUAAUUCGAAGCAACGCGAAGAACCUUACCUGGGCUUGACAUGCUGGUGAAAGCCGGUGGAAACAUCGGCCCCUCUUCGGAGCGCCAGCACAGGUGCUGCAUGGCUGUCGU